rnacentral:rRNA from 1 species
UACGUAGGUGGCGAGCGUUGUCCGGAUUUAUUGGGUUUAAAGGGUGCGUAGGCGGCCCUAUAAGUCAGUGGUGAAAUAUCGCAGCUUAACUGUGAGGGUGCCAUUGAUACUGUAGGGCUUGAGUGAAUUUGAGGUAGGCGGAAUUGACGGUGUAGCGGUGAAAUGCGCAGAUAUCAGGAGGAACACCCGUGGCUAAGGCGGCUCUCUAGUACGGUACUGACGCUGAGACGCGAAAGCGUGGGGAGCGAACAGG